UAAAAAUUUUAAAUUUAAAAAUAUAUAUUUAAAAUUUUAAAAAUUUAAAUUCAAAUAUAGUAAAAGAAUAAUAUGAUUAUUUUUUAUUUAUAAAACACACUAUCUUUCUUAUUCCAUCUUACCUAACCAAACGUUAUUUUUUUUAUUCCCAGGAAUAACCCAAUUUUCAUCCAAACACAAAAUUGAUUUAAUCCCCACUUAUACCUCAAUUUAUACCUAUCCCUGGAAUAGCCACUUUUUUCUUAUCCUCGAACCAAACGAUACCUUAAAAUAUUUUGCACAUCUACUGUUAGAUGGUAAUUUAUUGCUUAAACCUAAUAUACAUGUACUACAUAUUUGUAUACUUAUUUAUUGACUCUGUACUGUCAUGUUAUUUCUACAUUGCCGCUUGUAGAUUUACAAUCGUUUUUUUUUUUUUUUUUUAGAAAUUAGAGUGUUGAAUUGAAAGUAUGAGAUGAAAGAUGGGUUGAUGAAUUUGUGGUGCACAAACAUACCUGUAACAUUUUCCAAGGUAUUGCUUUAGAAGGUAUUACUGUUCAUUAUUUUGAGGAAUAAUGUAUUUUAUUAUGAGAUAAUUUGUCUUUCCAUGAAAAAAUUGAUUUUCUAGGCUAGAAGUUUGCUNUUCGAGUCACACCACGCUCCUAACCUAAUUGAUUUUUCUCUCAAUUAAUUUAAGUCCGCAUCAAACUCAGACAUAAAGAAGAGUAUUCAAUAUAAAAACAUAAAACAUUAUUAUCUAUCAGCUUAAAUAUUUAGAGAAAACAGUUAUUUCGCGUUGUUUAAUAUAGAUUGAAGCUAAAUGCACAGCUAAACAAGUAGGGUGGGCAAGUCCAUUAAAAAUCUCUAAAUGCUGCAUGUAAGUCCUCUAAAACUUGCAAUUUACCAGUAACAAAAAGAGAUGUACCACGUGCAGGAGUAUGUAACACUAGGGCGUUUGGAUUGAUGAAUUUGUAGAUUCAACGUAAGUCAAGUGUAAUGGUGUUUGAGUUUCCCUGAAGUGUGAUUAUUUUUCUGUUGUUUGUUUUGACGUAACUCGUACCACUGAAAGUUAAAUUCAAUCACUUCUNAAGGUAUUACUGUUCAUUAUUUUGAGGAAUAAUGUAUUUUAUUAUGAGAUAAUUUGUCUUUCCAUGAAAAAAUUGAUUUUCUAGGCUAGAAGUUUGCUUAUACUCCUCACAGUACGAAAUAAUUGCACAAAGCUAGAGUUUUUAUUUUGCACAAACUUCAAUUAACCCCUCCUAUGAUUUACUAUAUUUUUUUAAUUUUGCAAUCGUGCGACUUACAAGUUUUAUUUUGCUAUCCCAUAGUUUUAUCUUUGUUCUACCAUAACAAUUUGCCAUUAAAUAGAACAGUAAUGUAAGAUUAUUGUAAAUUAUAAUAAUAAUAUGGUUUAUAAAUUAUAAUAAUUUAGUUACAUGUGGUUUAUAAGUUACACUAUUUUAGCAAUCACUUCAACAGAAGGCCCUUAUAGUGAUAAAAAAAAAUAAAAAUUUAAAAACAAGGGCAAUAUGUCAAAGACAAAGUUUUUUUAACCACAUAUUAGAAAAGUGAAAAUAUGCUAAUUUAUAGGGGGCUAAUUAGAAGUUUAUUAUAUCCUAUUUUAUAGCGCUAUUCCAUCCAAAGGCCUACAUUUUAAAUAUGUGAGUAUAAGAUUUAUACUGUACUUUUAAGUGGGCAUAAUAUAUAUAAAGAAUAAAAGCUAAAUCUCAGAAUCUAUUCGCUGACUUAUCAUUCACAAUAUCAGUCAAAAUCACUUUUCAUUUGUGUAAGGGUGAUUCUUCAAUCUCUUUUUUUAUUACAUUUGUCAUCUAAACAAUGUCAAUAGUAUUAGAAGAUACCACCUGAGUUUAGGGUUGAGGGUUUGUUCGUAAACUUCGAUUGGCUAAAGUGGUAGCAACAUGCAUAUACUAAAUUGCGUUCAAAUUUUAUCCAUAUUUACCUUGUUCGAAUCNACAACAACAACAACACGCACACAAAAUAAAAACCCAUAUUUUUAUAUAUAUUAAUUAGACUUGAAACUAAUAAACUUUAAUUAAUAGAUUAUAAAUUUUAAAAUUUAAUUAAACUGAUGGAUAAGAAAUGGCGAAAUACUAAAACAGAAUGCUUUUUAGUGACGGAUGUGUACCACGUAGGUUUGUCCACACGUGAUCCCAAAAUAAGUAGGAAUUAUAGGAAAAAGUAAAAUAAGGUAGGUAAAUUAAGCAUACAUGUUUUUGGGUCGGGCAAACUUCGGACGUCGUGGACGAAGAGUGAGAGGUUUACGCUACUUGUCGUACUAAGUAGAGUUUCAUAAGAGGAUAGGCUUCUUCGCUGAUGUUACGAGAAUAGACUUUGAGAAAACCGGAAGAAUUUACAUACUCCAGUUAAAGAGCGUCGAGUUCGUAAAGUCUAGUAAAAACGUUGAAGGUGAUUUACGUUUCACUCCUCCUAGAGUAGAACACUUAAUCUAGAUCGUAGUUCCUAACUCAAGGGCAUGAAACAGAAAGCGAGGUUUACGCGUUUAAAAAAUUACAGUUGAAAAUGACAUCAUGCUUCACAAACAAUUAAACGAUCAAUUUAUACUAAGCUUGUUCCAUUUAUACCUAUUUUAAACUUGCGUUAAAUCAUAUACGUACAACGAUGGUGAAAUCGGUUAGCUUCAAAUGCUUGUUUGGGAGUUGGGAUUUGAGUCCACCAUAGAAGAUUAUGAUAACUGUAACAAAUCUACUGUUUACAUUAUUUUUUUCUCUAACUUCUUAGUGGGAACAACAACAACAACAACAUCAUGAUCUCUGCAGAGAGGGGUCUUUCUUUCUCAUGAAGAACAGGGCAUCUUCCGCACCAAGAUCCGAAUUUGGUUGAUUAAGAGAGGAAAUUUUGGGUCUCAAUAGAUAAAACAAAAACUUACUGCAUACAAUUGUGGAGCAAAGGAUUUUUUAAAAUAAAAAAAAAGGAGACAAAGCCUUAAUUAGCAAGAGAUGUUUAUGUAUGAAUUAACGAGUGCAUUUACGUAUGGUAACUUGGUAACUGUUAUACUUUCCUACCUGUAUUGUUUGGAUUCAUUAGUGAUAUUUGCAAUUUGUUAUGGAUUGAUGCAUUUAGCAGUGCAAUGUGUAUAUAUGCUUCAAAAGCGAGGUGUUUCAUCAAAAAAUUAAUCGAAUGGUUUAAGCUAUAGGUUUUAUGCCAAAAUAUUCAAAUAAAUGGUUCAAGUUAGGGGUUUUUUAAAAAAAAACAUUUGAAGUAUUGGAUGGAUCCUUACUUCAAUCUGAGCAGUUUUGGAGUUAACAGCUUGUUUUGGAUACUCUCUAAUACUGCUUUUCGAAAUAGAGUUGUUAUAGGUGCUACUGGUGUCGACCGAUAGUAGCUAGGUUAAAAAUUGAAACUGUUUCAAUCUUAAAACUUGUAAAUAAUAGUGUUUAAGAUUGUUUUUGGUUUCAUGUCAGCAUCUAUUUUGACAAAGCUGACUCUGUUUCCGGCUGAAUUUGUUUUGAAAUUGCUUCAGUUCGCCAUUUCAAUAUAAGCAACUGCUAAACUUGCAAAGACUCGUAAAGAUGGUAACAACAGCUGAAGUUAUUCUGAAUAAUCGCAUUUUUACAGAAGCUGUAUUUAUUUCAAGCAAAACAGUUUUGACAGAGCUAAAUUGGUCUCAAGCAAUCCGUAUCUACAAAUGCGGAAUUAGAAUUGCAGCAAAACCAAAAUGAUAAAUAUUUUUGCUUUUUGACGUAGAAUCAUUGGGCAUACAUUUCACAGUUGGAGAAAAAUUGCAUAAUAGUAAAGUCGCAAAAUCGUAAUGAGAAUUGGUUCACAAAUAAAAGAUAAUUUUAAUUUCUAAAAUUUCUCCUUCAUAAAGUUUUGAGUCAUCAUCCUACUCGCUUUCUUCAUUAAUUACCAUCGCUGCCAUCAUCAACAUGCAUCUUUGAUGCAUCAGGAUUUACCUGAAGUGAGUGAGCAAAAAAAGUCCUCCUUUAAUUAAGGGACCUUGCAAAAAAAAAGAAGAAAAAAACAAGAGGUCACCCUCCUCCUCAAACACCUUCAUCUUCAUUGCGUUUUUAUUCUUUUCCUCCUUUCCAGGCACGAGAGAGGAAAAAAAAAAAAAAAAAAAAAAACAACAACAACAAAGGGAGCAUGCUUUUCUGCCUCUUCAUCUGAAAAUGGACACCGAAAUAAAAAGAUCCAAAUAUUUUUAUAAAUUGUACAAUUAGGUAAAGAUUGAUCAUUGACCCAUGGGGUGUAUUUCACUGGUUAGGUUGAUGUGAUUAGUAAAAUACACUUUAUUUUUAUAAAUUGUACAAUUAGGUAAAGAUUGAUCAUUGACCCAUGGGGUGUAUUUCACCAGUUACAUUGAUGUUAUUAGUAAAAUACACUUUAUUUUUAAAUAGAUGGGGUGUAUAUUCUAUACCCAAUGAAUGUAUAAGUAAGAGUUUUCAAAAAAGAAAAAAAAGAAAAAAAAAAGGCAUUGGCGCGUGCGUUCUCUCGAAGCUCCUCUGGAACCAUCAGCNAAUAAAAAUUAAUAUAUUUUUCACCAAUGGGAGUCUAACGUAAAAAAAAAAAAGAAAAAGAAAAAGAAAAUGAUAGUAUAAAGAGGUGUAAAUUAAGAAAAUAAUUUUUUUAUGGCUAUUAAGAAAAUCAGUGCUAAUUAAAAAAGACAAUUUCGAAUUGUGGUGCAUUGCUGAAGGGGUCUCCAUACUUUUUUUUUUCCUUUUUUUUGGGGCAAUCAAAAUUUAUACAUAUCAAUUGCUCAAAUAUAAUAGUAUCUAAGAAUAAUAUCGUGGGGUGAAAAUCGUUUUGAUAUUACUCAAUCUAAUUGGACUCUGAAGCCAAAGAUUAUCGGAUUUGGAUUGAAAUUUUACUAUCCAUUACGGACUCAAAUUUAGAUUUAGAUCCGAAAUUUGAAAUUCUUUUGGGUUCAAAUUAAGAUUCACUAUUCCUUUUCCAAUUCGGAUUCAAAAUUAUUCGAAACAAAAACUGAUUUUGACUGCUUUUUUAAUUUCUUAAGUAAUGCCAUUUAAGCAUCUUUCAGAAAUCUCAAACAUCUUCAUUGCAUUUUCUUCACUUGGAAGAGAAAAUAAUAAUAAUAAUAAUAAUAAUAAUAAUAAUAAUAGUAAUAAUAAUAAUAAGUCCCUCCUUUUCCACCUUUUCAUUUGAAAAUGGACACUGAAACAACAAGAAAAAAUUUCUUCAAUACCCUUCCAAGUAGUUCUAAUUUUAUGAAUACCCUUCAAAAUUUUAAAAUUUUCAUACUUGCCCUCCAAAAGUAUGGAAAAGUUUCAAAAAUACUCUCACUGUCACUGUCAGUAAUCUGUUAUAUUAACUUCAAAAUACCAAUUUUACCCCCUAUUUUAAUUUAAUCACCACUCUCACAAUUUUUUUUUUGAAUAUAUGGAGACCCCUCAAUUACAACCCAUUAUGAAAUACCCUCCUAAAUUUAACUUUUUAAUUAAAGUCUUCUUAAAUUUUAUUUUCUUAAAUUGAAUGAUUUUUUUAUUAUUAAAUUAGAGAUUUUAUCUAAUCUAUUAAUGAUUCAAACAAAUUUAAUAAUUUUAAUAACUUCGUAGUAUAUAAAAUUAAAUAAGUUUCUGUUCAAAAAAGAAAAUUAAUAAAAACUUCAAAGAUUUACUUAAAUGACCUAUAGUUGAUAGUUUUAGUAUAAAUAUCAAAAAAUAAGUGAAAGAAGUUUGAUUUUUAAACAAAAGGGAAAACUUCAAAAAACCCCUCUGUGGUUUCGUAGUUUCUCACUUUGCUCCCCUGUAGUUUAAAAUGUAUCAAAUUGCCCCCAUAUGAUUUCGUUUUUAUCUUUUUGGUAGCUUUUUCGUUAAUAUUUCAUUAAAUUAUAUACAAAAAAAACUUCAGAUACCCAUCUAGAUUUAUCAAAUAUUCACUUUAGUACUCUUUAAAUUAACUUUAUCACUGAUUUAAGAAAAAAUAAUAAUAAAAUUGAUAAAAAAAAGAGAAAAAAGAAAUCACGGGGGGCAAAUUGAUACAUUUUAAACCACAGGGGGGCAAAGUGAGAAACUACGUAAAUACAGGGGGGUUUUUGAAGUUUUCUCUAAACAAAAAGUGAACAAAUUAAGGGCAAAAUGGUAAUUUCAUAUUUUGAAAUAAAAUAAAAAAAUGCUAUGUUGACGGAAGUUAGCAAAAAAUAACGGUGAGGCUAUUUAUGAAAGCAAUAUUAUAUUUAGAGGGGCAUUUGUGACAUUUUAAAAAUUCAAUGGGUGUUUAUGAUAUUUCAUAACUUUGUGAGGGUACAAAUGAAAUUAACCCAAACAACAAGAUCCAAAGAGCAAAUUUGAAACUGAUAAUAUUUUUAUAAUCUGUACAAUUGGAUAAAGAUUGAUCAUUGACCCAUGGGGUGUAUUUCACUAGUUACAUUGAUGUGAUUAAUUAGUAAAAUACACUUUAUUUAUUUUUAAAUAGGUGGGGUGUGUAUUCGAUACCCAAUGAAUGUAUGAGUAAGAGUUUUCUAAAAAAAAAAAAAAGAGGAGGAACAAAAAAAGCAUUGACGCGUGCGUUCCGGCCCCCACCAUAAUGAUUGGAGACACAGCACAAUAAUUGGAGCAAACAUCUUCCACUGGCGGAGAGCAUCCCCUUAUUAUCCUCUGCUUCUCUGUAGGAGGACGUUCGUAUUGAGAAGGAUUAGGCAGCAGCACGCGCGAUGGCGGAGGGGAUCGCAUUCGACUUGGUCAAAGGAGUGCUGGGCAAGCUGGGCUCCGCUCUCUGGGACGAAAUCGGGCUGCUGCGGAGCUUCAAGGACGACGCGGACGACCUCAGAAGCAACUUCUCGGCGAUACAGGCGGUGCUUCUCGACGCCGAGGAGCGAAGCAGCGCUGGGAAGGAGACCCACGCGCUGCGCGACUGGCUGCGCAAACUGAAGGACGCCGCCUACGACCUGCUGGACGAGAUCCGGACGCAACAGCAGUAUCCCGAGGUGCAGAAUCAUCAACACCAGCCAGCUGGAAAGGUACGUGGAUUUCUGUCCCGCGCUAAUCCGAUGCAUCUGAAGUUUAAGGUCAAGAUGGCGCACAGGAUGAAAGCGCUCCGAGAAAAGAUCGGUAAGAUCGCGAAACAGAGGCAUGAUUUCGGUCUUGCCGAAGCUGGCCCUGGUCGGCAGGCUGAGUUCAAACGCCCUGACACAUAUUCAGUCGUCGACGAAAAGACAAUAGUUGGGAGAGAUGGUGAUAAAGAGGAAAUUGUGAAGCUCCUGUUAGAGACGGGCGGCGAUCACGACGUGUCGGUCAUUCCGAUAGUGGGAUUGGGAGGAUUGGGGAAGACGACGCUCGCUCAGAUGGCCUUCAACGACGGGCGGGUUACGGAUCAGCAGUGCUUUGAUCUAUGGGUGUGGGUCUGCGUGUCUACUGAUUUCGACAUGAAGACGAUUGCAAAGCCGGUGAUAUCUGCAGCCGGAGAGAAUUGUGCUCUUGAUAACUCGGAUGCCGUCGCCAGUUGUCUUGUUAGGAUCUUUAGCCAGAAGAGAUUUUUGCUGGUGCUGGACGAUGUAUGGAACGAAGAUCAGGAAAAGUGGGAGAAUUUGAAGGUCUUAUUUAAGGACAGCAAGAAGGGAAGUAAAAUUUUAGUCACCACGCGGAGCAAGAAGGUUGCCACGAUAAUGAAAACAGUCGAACCACACCAUGUGAAAGUCUUAUCAGAUGAUGAUUGUUGGACAUUGUUCAAAAGACGGGCAUUCGAGAAAGGGGAAGAGAACGACUAUCCGAGUUUGGUGGAAAUUGGAAAGCAGAUAGUAGAGAAGUGUGGUGGCUUGCCUUUAGCAGCAAAUGCCUUAGGAAGUAUGAUGCGCUUUAAGAGGACAGAGAAUGAAUGGUCCGCUACUAGAGAUAGCGAAAUAUGGAGGUUGGAAGAAGGAACUAUUUUACCAUCAUUAAAAUUGAGCUACAUUCAGAUGCCGUCGGCUUUGAAGCAGUGCUUUGCUUACUGCUCCAUUUUCCCCAAAGACUAUGAGAUUGACAAGGAUGACUUGAUCCGGCAGUGGAUUGCUUUAGGCUUCAUUUCAUCGCAUGAAACAUGGACUUCGAUGGAAGAUAUCGGGAAUGAGUACUUUAACGAUCUAUUAUGGAUGUCUUUCCUUCAGGACGUGGAGGAGAAUUAUAGAGGGGUCACCUGCUGCCGGAUGCAUGAUUUAGUGCACGACCUCGCACAAUCUGUGGCAAAAGAAGAAGUUGCUGUUAUAAGUGCAGAAGAGUCAGCAAGGAUCCCAGAAGGUUGCCGCUAUGCAUCAAUACACAGUCGUUUCACGCCACAGGUUUCAAUUACCGUAAUGCAAAGGUUGCGAGCUCUUCAAUUUAGGGAAUCUGGUUCACCUAUUAUGACUCUUUAUAGCGAGGCAAAAUGGUUACGCCUGUUGGAUUUACAUGAUUCCAAAAUUUCUAUGUUGNAAAGCAUUGGCGCGUGCGUUCCGGCCCCCACCAUAAUUAUUGGAGACACAGCACAAUAAUUGGAGCAAUCAUCUUCCACUGGUGGAGGAGCAUCCCCUUAUCAUCCUCUGCUUCUCUGUAGUAGGACGUUCGUAUUGAGAAGGAUUAGGCAGCAGCACGCGCGCGCGAUGGCGGAGGGGAUCGCAUUCGAAUUGGUGACGGGAGUGCUGGGCAAGCUGGGCUCCGCUCUCGGGGACGAAAUCGGGCUGCUGCGGAGCUUCAAGGACGACGCGGACGACCUCCGAAGCAACUUCUCUGCGAUCCAGGCGGUGCUUCUCGACGCCGAGGAGCGAAGCAGCGCUGGGAAGGAGAGCCACGCUCUGCGCGACUGGCUGCGCAAACUGAAGGACGCCGCCUACGACGCCGACGACCUGCUGGACGAGAUCCGGACGCAACAGCAGUACCCCGAGGUGCAGAAUCAUCAACACCAGCCAGCUGGAAAGGUACGUGGAUUUCUGUCCCGCGCUAAUCCGAUGCAUCUGAAGUUUAAGGUCAAGAUGGCGCACAGGAUGAAAGCGCUCAGAGAAAAGAUCGGUAAGAUCGCGAAACAGAGGCAUGAUUUCGGUCUUGCCGAAGCUGGCCCUCUUGGACAGGCUGAGUUCAAGCGCCCUGAGACAUUCUCGGUCGUCGACGAAAAGACAAUAGUGGGGAGAGAUGGUGAUAAAGAGGAAAUUGUGAACCUUCUCCUAGAGACUAACAGCGAUCACGACGUGUCGGUCAUUCCGAUCGUGGGAUUGGGGGGAUUGGGGAAGACGACGCUUGCUCAGCUGGCCUACAACGACGAGCGGGUUACGGACGAGCUGGUUACGGGCCAGAAGCGCUUUGAUCUACGGGUGUGGGUCUGCGUGUCUACCGAUUUCCACAUGAAGACGAUUGCAAAGCCGGUGAUAUCUGCAGCUGGAGAAAAUUGUGCUCUUGAUAACUCGGAUGCCGUUGCCACUUGCCUUGUCAGGAUCUUUAGCCAGAAGAGAUUUUUGCUGGUGCUGGAUGAUGUAUGGAACGAAGAUCAGAAUAAGUGGAAGGAAUUGAAUGUUGUAUUUAAGAACAGCAAGAAGGGAAGUAAAGUCUUAGUGACCACGCGGAGCGAAAAGGUUGCCGAGAUAAUGAAAACAGUCAAACCGCACCGUGUGAAAGGCUUAUCAGAUGAUGAUUGUUGGACAUUGUUCAAAAGACGGGUAUUCGAUGAUGGGGAAGAGAACUACUAUCCGAGUUUGGUCGCAAUCGGAAAGCAGAUAGUUAAGAAGUGCGGCGGUGUGCCGUUAGCAGCAAAUGCUUUAGGAAGUAUGAUGCGCUUUAAGAGCAGGACAGAGGAUGCAUGGUCCGCUAUUAGAGAUAGCGAAAUUUGGAGUCUGAAAGAAGAGAAAACUAUUUUACCAUCGUUAAAGUUGAGCUACAUUCAGAUGCCGUCGGCUUUGAAGCAGUGCUUUUGUGACGCCCCAACUUCCCAGGAGGUCACCCAUCCUAGGACUACUCCCGUCCUAGCACGCUUAACUCUCUUAACCUCUUAGGCCUUGCUACCACCCAAAAUGCUUAAGCUGGGUUAAGAGUUUAGCCCUAUUAUAUCUUGUAUAUAGGACUACCCGGGGUCUCACAGCUUUGCUUACUGCUCCAUAUUCCCCAAAGACUAUGAGAUUGACAAGGAUGACUUGAUCCGGCAAUGGAUUGCUUUAGGCUUCAUUUCAUCGCAUGAAACAUGGACUUCGACGGAAGAUAUUGGGAAUGAGUACUUUAACAAUCUAUUAUGGAUGUCUUUCCUUCAAGACGUGAAGGAAAAUUAUAGAAAGGUUACCACCUGUCGGAUGCAUGAUUUAGUGCACGACCUCGCACAAUCUGUAGCAAGAGAAGAAGUUGCUGCUAUAGUUGGAAAAGAGUCAACAGGGUUCCCGGAAGGUUGUCGCUAUGCAUCAAUACACAGUAGUUUCAUGCCACAGAUUCCAACCACAGUAGUGCGGAGGUUGCGAGCUCUUCAAUUUAGGAAAUCUGGUUCACUUAUUAUGGAUUUUUAUAGCGAUGCAAAAUGCUUAUGCCUGUUGGAUUUACAUGGUUCCAAAAUUUCUAUGCUGCCAAGCUCAAUCGGUAAGUUGAAGCUCAUANUAAGAUACCUCAACCUUUCGAAGAACAGUAUACAAGAAUUGCCUGAAUCAACUACCAGCCUCUGCAACUUGCAAACCUUGAAUCUUUCACGCUGCCGCGAGAUCCGUACAUUACCCAAAUUUCUAGGAAGGCUUACGAAUUUGCGGAUUUUAGAUUUAGGAGGUUGCCUAUCUCUGACAAUACUGGACUCCAUUAGCAACCUUCAGAAUUUGUACACACUAGAUUUGAGUUGGUGCCAAAAGGUGAUAUCACUUGAACCUAUAUGUCACCUCAAAAACCUGCAUGACUUAAACCUAUCAUGUCUAAAAUCUUUGGUGGCAUUACCUGAAUCCAUUGGGAGCCUUCAAAACUUGCGUAUUCUGAACCUUUCUUGGUGCUAUUCCCUACUAUCAUUACCCUCAUCGUUAUGUCACCUCAAAAACCUGCAUAGGUGCUCUUCUCUAGAAUCGUUACCCUCAUCGUUAUGUCACCUCAAAAACCUGCAUCACUUAAACCUAUCGUGUCUAAAUUCUUUGGUGGCAUUACCUGAAUCCAUUGGGAGCCUUCAAAACUUGCAUAUUCUGAACGUUUCUGAAUGCUCGUCUCUAGAAUCAUUACCCUCAUCGUCAAGUGAUCUUCAGCAUUUAGAGAAACUCGACAUCCGUGAUUGUGGAAAAUUAUGUGAGCUGCCUAAAAUGAUCCAAAAGCUGACCAAACUUAGAGUCUUGUUAAACAACAAUUGCUCGGAAUUGAAGGGCAUGCCCCGAGGGAUCGGCAAGUUAGUUAGCUUGCAGGAAUUGUCCGUUUUUGUCGUCGGCAAGCAAGACCGCGUCGAACAUUGUGCCAGCAUCUCUGAGCUAGAGCACUUGAAGCUUGUCGGCCAGCUGCGGAUCAAGGGUCUCGAGAAUGUGACGAGUCCGGUUGAUGCCAAGGCUGCAAAUUUGAUAGAGAAGAACCUGCGGUCUUUGAAGUUGGAAUGGAACGUUUUAAGCGCAGAAGAAGCCGUGUUAGAAAAUCUUCAACCACAUCAAAAGCUAGAGAAUUUGGAAAUAGGAGGCUAUGGAGGCGGGAAGUUUCCUAGCUGGAUGAUGAACAGGAUUGGCUCGUGCCUCCCAAAUCUCGUUAAAAUCAAACUAGCGAAUAUGCCCGGAUGCAGCUCACUUCCGCAGCUGGGGCAACUUCCUUUUCUUGAAGAACUGACUAUACGAAACAUGCCCGCGGUAACAAAUUUGGGCGUAGAUAAGUUCCCUGCGCUGACGACACUUGAGUUGUCCUCCAUGCCGGAGCUGCGAGAAUGGGUGACUGUGUUGACGGUGGAUGACGAAGAAGGCAGGCGAGAGCGAGUUCCCAUUUUUCCGCGUCUCACUCAAUUGUGGCUUAAAGGAUGUCCUCAAUUGAGGCCGGAGCCUUGCGUCCCGCCAUCGGUUAAGUAUCUGACCAUUUCUAGAGCAAGCAAGGAGAAUCUAUCGUUGAUACUCGAACGCGCGAUGCCAUUUGGAGGCGGUGAUGCCGCCGUUUCACCCCAACCGCCACCAGAUAAGGGGCUGCGGGAUCUAGUAAUAAACGAAUGUCAGCAGCUUACCUGUUUGCCCGAGAGCUUGCGGGGUCUCACGUCCCUCCAGCGGCUGAGAAUAUCUGAUUGUGAAGAUCUUGAGAGAAUUGAAGAUUGGCUCGGGGAGCUCUCCGACCUGCAGUCCUUGGAGAUCUGGGAGUGCAGCAGUCUCCGUUACUUGCCUGCGCACAAGAUGACCACACUUCAGGAGUUAGAUAUUAACAAGUGCCCCCUGUUGUUCGAUGCGGACGGACGAUUUGUCGACACCAGUGUCGAUCACAUCAAAAAUGUCGAAGUUGAUGGGAGGUAAUUAAUUUGGAACUCUGACUACUCUUUAAUUAAUGAGCUAGCACCUUAAUAUUCUAUUGUAGCUAGCAUGAACAUCUCGGUUUUUUUUUUNCUCUGCAACUUGCAAGCCUUGAAUCUUUCAGGCUGCCGUGAGAUCCGUACAUUACCCAAAUUUCUAGGAAGGCUUACGAAUUUGCGGAUUUUAGAUUUAAGGGAUUGCCCAUCUCUGACAAUACCUGACUCCAUUAGCAACCUGCAGAAUUUGUAUGCACUAAAUUUGAGUUUGUGCAAAAACGUGAUAUCACUUGAACCUAUAUGUCACCUCAAAAACCUGCAUUACCUAGACCUAUCAUAUCUAGAUUCUUUGGUGGCAUUACCUGAAUCCAUUGGAAGCCUUCAAAAUUUGCGUGGUCUCAACCUUUCUAGCUGCUCUUCUCUAGAAUGGUUACCCUCAUCAUUAUGUCACCUCAAAAACCUGCAUCUCUUAAACCUAUCAAAUCUAGAAUCUUUGGUGGCAUUACCUGAAUGCAUUGGGAGCCUUCAAAACUUGCGUAUUUUGAGCCUUUUUGGCUGCUCUUCUCUAAAAUCAUUACCCUCAUCAUUAUGUGAUCUCAAAAACCUGCAUGACUUAAACCUAUCACGUCUAAAAUCUUUGGUGGCAUUACCUGAAUCCAUUGGGAGCCUUCAAAACUUGCGUAUUCUGAAUGUUUCUAAAUGCUAUUCUCUACUAUCGUUACCCUCAUCGUCAAGUGAUCUUCAGCAUUUAGAGAAACUCGACAUCAGUGGUUGUAAAAAAUUAUGUGAGCUGCCUAAAAUGAUCCGAAAGCUGACCAAACUUAGGGUCUUGUUAAACAACAAGUGCUCAGAAUUGAAGGGCAUGCCCCGAGGGAUCAGCAAGUUAGUUAGCUUGCAGGAAUUGUCCGUUUUUGUCGUCGGCAAGCAAGACCGCGUGGAACAUUGUGCCAGCAUCUCUGAGCUCGAGCACCUUAAGCUUGUCGGCGAGCUGGAGAUCAAGGGUCUUGAAAAUGUGACGAGUCCGGUUCAUGCCAAGGCUGCAAAUUUGAUAGAGAAGAACCUGCGGAAUUUGAAGUUGGAAUGGAAAGUUUUAAGUGCGGAAGAAGGCACGGAUAGUACUGUACUACCGGUGGAAGAGAUCGAAACCGUGCUUGAAAAUCUUCAACCACAUCAAAAGCUAGAGAAUUUGAAAAUAGAAGGCUAUGGAGGCGGGAAGUUUCCUAGCUGGAUGAUGAAUAGGAUUGGCUCGUGCCUCCCUAAUCUACUUCAAAUCGAACUAGCGGAUAUGCCCGGAUGCAGCUCACUUCCGCAGCUGGGGCAACUUCCUUUUCUUAAAGAACUAACUAUACGAAAUAUGCCCGCAGUAACAAAUUUGGGGGUAGAUAAGUUCCCUGCGCUGACGAGACUUGACUUGUCCUCCAUGCCGGUGCUGCGAGAAUGGGUGACUGUGUUGACGGUGGACGACGAAGAAGGCAGGCGAGAGCGAGUUCCCAUUUUUCCGCGUCUCACUGGAUUGUGGCUUAAAGAAUGUCCUCAGUUGAGGCCGGAGCCUUGCCUGCCGCCAUCGGUUUUGAUUAUGAUCAUUUCUAGAACAAGCAGCGAGAAUCUAUCGUUAAUUCUCGAACGCGCGACGCCAUUUGGUGAUGGUAAUGCCGCCGUUUCACACCAACCGCCACCAGAUAAGGGGCUGCAGGAUCUAGUAAUAAACGAAUGUCAGCAGCUAACUUGUUUGCCCGAGAGCUUGCGGGGUCUCACGUCCCUCCAGCGCCUGGACAUAUGGGGUUGCCAUGAUCUUGGGAGAAUUGAAGAUUGGCUCGGGGAGCUCUCCGACCUGCAGUCCUUGACCAUCUCGAAGUGCCGCAGUCUCCGUUACUUGCCUGCCCGCAAGAUGGCCGCACUUCAGAUGUUAUCUAUCGGGAAUUGCCCGCUGUUGUUCGAUGCAGACGGACAAUUUGUCGACACCAGUGUCGAUCACAUCAAAGAAGUCUAUGUUAAUGGAAGGUAAUUAAUUUGGAACUCUGACUACUCUUUAAUUAAUUAGCUGGCUAGCACCUAAAUAUUAAUUCUAUCGUAGCUAGCAUAAACAUCUCUUUUUCUUUUUCUUUUUUUUUUCUAAAUAUUCGGAUGGAAAACUUUCAAUUAGCCCCACCGCACCUGAUUCAGAGCAUUUUCGUUUGCUAUGAAAUAUUUCAUUUUGCUAUUUUAUAGUUUUGUUUUUAUUUUCUUGCAAAAAUCUUCUACAAGAAAGAAAAAAGAAACAAAUUAAAGUGCUAAAAUGUAUGAAUUAUAAGGCUGUCAAUUAAUUUAUUUUACAAACCACAUAGGGACUGUGUGAAAUAUAUAUAUAUAAUCAUUUUAGUAUUUUAUGGUUUAUAAAUUUAUCACUUUAAUACUCCACUUUAAUUACUUGAGAUUGGAUAUAAUCAUAGGAUUUUCAAGUAAAACUAUUUAAAACGUAGUGUGGCAAAAAGAAAACACAUUAAACUACAUUUCAAUAUCAAAAGUGCAAUUAAGAUAUUCGAAAACAUGGUUGGUUUUCUGGAAAAAUUUUCAAGUGGUCUCUUGCAUGUGCAUAGACUAAUUAAUGAAAUUUUAAUCUUUUCUUAAUUUGUAGCGAUUUGAGAUGCCAGAAAAUUUCUACUUGAACGAUAUAUAGUAUUUACAAAGUAAUUAUUUUCAGUGAUAUUGUUGAUAUACUAUUUGAGUCCUUGGAUAUUUUUUUUUACAAAUUGAAAUUAGGUAUCUUAUAUAUCAUACAUUAUUAAAAUGUCUAAGCAAAAUGUCCAGCACAUGUUGCACGAGCGUCGGAUAAAAAAUAACCAUUUUGUGUUGUUGUGUUGUAGUUCUUACCGGUACAAGAAACAAGCGAGCAGCUCACCACAGGAGGAAGAGAGCUCAGCGAAGGAGGAGAAGAAGAUUGGUUAGCGAGNGAAAAAUUUCUACUUGAACGAUAUAUAGUAUUUACAAAGUAACUAUUUUUGGUCAUAUUGUUGAUAUAUUAUUCAAGUCCUGGAAUAUUUUUCUUUAUAAAUUGAAAUCAGGUAUGUUAUAUAUCAUACGUUAUUAGAAAGUCUAAGCAAAAUGUGCAGCACAUAUAUACUGCACGAGCGUCGAAUAAAAAAGUAACUAUUUUGUGUUGUUGUGGUGUAGAAAAUACCCGUACAAGGAACAAGCGAGCAGCUCGCCACAUGUGGAAGAGAGCUCACCGAAGGAGGAGGAGGAGAAGAAGAUUGGUUAGCGAGGAGAGCAUAAGUAUAUGUACCUAUUAUUUGGAGGUAAAAAGAUAUUAGAUAUUAUCUAAACUAUACUGCACUUUGAAAGCGGCCAAUUGGGCUUUACGAAAUUCGAUUUUAAUUCGAUUUUGACAUAAGAAAUUUUCUUUGAAAGAUUUGUUAGAUCCUUUUAGAAUUUAGUCUCUUCCGUUAAACAAAGUGCAGAAUGUUUCAUAAAAUAACAAAAUAUUUUUUUUAUCAAAUUUUAAAAUAUUUUAUCAAAAAAUGUUAAGUAACCUUUCAAAUUCUCUAUGGAACAUAAUAAACACGGCGGAAAGUUAGAGAGUAGAAUUAAAUUUUUUAAAGUUCNAUAUAUAUAUAUAUAUAUAUAUAUAUAUAUAAUUGAGCCAGAAUACUGUUAAAAGAACCAACCCCUUGGUACUUUUGAGUUUCUAGCCCUUGGAUCUACUCCUUGAUUAUUAAUAAUCUUUGAAUCAAACACUAUUCCACCUACCACCACUUACCACCAUCAUCUCAACCCUACAUCUUUCCAUUCAAUAGCUAAAAACUCAAAAGCACCAAUCCCUUGGUGCUUUUGAGAGUAUUCUAGUUCAACUCUUCCUCUCUCUCUCUCUCUCUCUCUCUCUAUAUAUAUAUAUAUAUUAGUAUUUUAUGGUUUAUAAAUUUUAGCACUUUAGUACUCUACUCUACUUUAGAUAGGUUCUUAUGAUCGUAUAUAAUUAAAAAAAAAAUCCAUAGGAUUUUCAAGUAAAACUAUUUAAAACGUAUGGCGGCAAAAUGAAAACGGGUUAAACCACAUUUCAAUAUCAAAAGUGCAGUUAAGAUAUUCGAAAACAUGGUUGGUUUUCUGGAAAAAAAUUCAAGUGGUCUCUUGCAUGUACAUAGAGUAAUUAAUGAAAUUUUAACCUUUUCUUAAUUUGUAGCGAUUUGAGAUGCUGGAAAAUUUCUACUUGAACGAUAUAUAGUAUUUACAAAGUAAUUAUUUUCGGUCAUAUUGUUAAUACACUAUUCAAGUUCUGGGAUAUUUUUCUUUACAAAUUGAAAUCAGCUAUGUUAUAUAUCAUACGUUAUUAGAAAGUCUAACCAAAAUGUACAAUACAUAUAUGCUGCACGAGCGUCGGAUAAAAAAGUAAUCAUUUUGUGUUGUUGUGCUGUAGAAAAUACCCGUACAAGGAACAAGCGAGCAGCUCACCACAUGUGGAAAAGAGCUCACCGAAGGAGGAGAAGGAGAAGAAGAUUGGUUAGCGAGGAGAGCAUAAGUAUAUAUACCUAUUAUUUGGAGGUAAAAGGAUAUUAGAUAUUAUAUCUAUACUAUACUGCACUUUGAAAGUGGCCAAUUGGGCUUUAUGAAUUUUGAUAUUAAUUCGAUUUUAAUUCAAUUUUGAUAUAAGAAAUUUUCUUUGAAAGAUUUGUUAGAUCUUUUUAGAAUUUAGUCUCUUCCGUUAAACAAAGUGCAGAAUGUUUCAUAAAAUAAAAAAUAAUUUUUUAAUCAAAUUUUAAAAUAUUUUAUCAAAAAAUGUUAAGUAUCUCAAAGGACCAUAAUAAGCACUGCGGAAAGUUAGAGAGUAGAAUUAAAUUUUUUAAAGUUCAGUUAUUUAUCUCAAAGCGUAGUAUAGCUCACGUAAGAAUCAUUCUCUUUUAGCUUAUUUGGUGAUCACUAUUCCCCUUUGAGAAGAGUUUUCUUUUUCCCUUUGUUUUGCCAAAAAUAAACAAAUUUUAUAUAUCUACAUGCAAUGGUGACAGUUUUUAUUCAUAAACUUGUGGCCUUCUCUUUCAAGUUGGUGCUAUUUAGCUUUCCGGACAAGAAUUGUAGUGUGCUGUUGUCGGGUUAAUAUAUAUUUGUGUUUUCGUGAUAUAAAUUUAGUUUCGGAAUGUACUAUUUUAUAAUUUGGUUUGAUUGUUGGUAAUUUUAUGGUGUUCUCUAUAUAUGUUAUGGGCUUGAAAAAGAUUGUUUGGUUUGAAUAAACAAAAUGUUGCUACUUUUUUAAUACGGAUAUUAGAGGGUACAUUAAUUUUUAAGUAAAUCUCACGUAGAGUUUAUUACUAGCUAGUAUAUAUGCAUUGUGUUACGAACUUGUUUAAAAUCAGAUGCUGUUUUUGGCAUGCAAGUUGAAGCUAGUAUAUAUGUAUGUACCGCAGUUGAGAGGGUUAAUUUCCAUCUAUGUUUACUUUAAUUUAUCUUUUCUUUUAUUUGAUUAGAUCCGAAUUAAGCCGAUAAAUUUUAAAGUAUUAAAAGUUUUAUUAUUUUGCUUUCUGCAAGAUUUUUAGUUUUUAAAUUCNUGAAGUACUAAAAUUUUAUUAAUUUUCUUUUCGCAAGAUUUUUAGUUUUUAAUUCCCCAAAUUCGAAAUCAAUUUAUUACUAAAAUCAAACUUGAGGUGCUUUUCCCAUUUGGUUUUCACGAAACGUGUGGUUUAAAUGGGAAUAUAGAUUUAUGUUGCCGCACAAUUUAAUUUAUUUGAUUUAAGCGAUUUGAUUACUUUUUUAAUAUAAAAUUUAGAAUAAUUAUUUAUUUCAAUAAAUUUAUAUUUGCAUAAUUAAAAAUAUAUUUAAAAUUUUAAAGUCAAAGAGUCAUUAGUUGAUUUAAAUCAAAUAAAUUAAAAGAUUAUAUAGCAAAAUUAAAAUUUUUAAAGAUUAGAUAAUCAGAUUAAAAGAACUGACAGUCGGGGCGAGUUAUAUAAAUUUUUGACUUUUUUAUCCAAGAAAUCUGGAAAAUUAAAAGAGGUAUUUACUUCAAAAUAUGUUAAACUAUUAUUAUUAUUAUUAUUAUUAUUAUUUUACCAUAAAGCAUUUUCGAGAACCUAACAUUUGGGACCAACCGUAAAAAUAAUAAGAAAAAUUGUGCGAAAUUAACUGAAAAUUUAUUUUAUUGAAAAUCUCACCGUGAAUUUUUUUUUUUAUUGUCUAUUCUUUCUGAUUUGAGUUUGCUUUUCUUCUUCUUUUUUUUUGGGAAAAUGCAGUAUGCAUAAUUGAUCCUUGAUUUAUACUAUAGUUUCAGCUUAACAACUGGAAAAAAAAAUGCUAUAAAAAUUAAAUAUGUGGAUAAAAUAUUAAGGUAUCGCAUAAAUAUAACCGCAUAGUUCUUCAAUAACAAUUAAGCACAAUUUUAUAGCUUCGGACGAGAAAAGAUUAGAAGCAGUUUUAAAAUUUUUGGACCUUUCAAAAUAUGAAAAUGUUGCUUCUUACCACUACGUUCCUAAAGAAAGUUGGGUUAGUUGCAAUUUUUUAUACUUACGAAUUAAAUGAAUGAAAUACAAUAAAAAGAAAAUAUUAAGGAUGAAUAAAACCUUGGUGCAUCACCUGUUUGGAUGCACCAGGUGUAGGCAGUGAUUUUUCAUAAAACGAAAUCGUAAAGCGUUAAAGAAUAGGUAGUCAAAUUAAUUUAAAUUUUUAAAUAUUAGAUAAUUAAUUUCAAAUUAUAAAAGUUCAGAUUAAUUAAGUACAUUUUUAUACCCAAAAAUUAAACACAGCAACAACAACAACAACAUGACCACUGCAAAGAGGGGUCUUUCUUUCUCAUAAAGAACAGGGCAUCCCGUGCACCAAGAUACGAAUUUGGUUGAUCAAGAGAGAAAAUUUUGGCUCUCCAAUAGAUAGAACAAAAACUUGCUGCAUACAAUUGUGGAGCAAAGCCUUUUUUAAAAUAAAAAAGGUGAUAAAACCUUAAUUAGCAAGAGAUGUUUUAUGUACGAAAUUAUUUUUAUUUUUAUUUUUUAAGAGAUAGGUAGCACGCCACCUACUUCGUUUAUUUCAUUUAGAAAUAAACUUAGCUGAAAAUAUGAAUCAACUAGGAUUCGAACUUGGGUCUCGGGUACUAACCACUAAGCCCUUUGCCACUUGCUUUAGGAACGGUCGGUUAUGUACGAUAAAUUAACAAGUGCAUUUAUGUAUGGUAACUUGGUAACGGUUAUACCUUCCUACUUGUACUGUUUGGAUUCAUUAGUGAUAUUUGCAGUUUGUUAUGAAUGCAUUAAGCAGUGCAAUGUGUACGUAUGCUUCAAAAGCUAGGUGUUUCGCCAAAUAAUUAAUCGAAUGGUUUAAGCUAGGUGUGUUGCCCAAAGAUUCAAAUAAAUGGUUCAAGUUAGGGGUUUUUUAAAAAAAUUCUUGUUAAGUAUUGGAUGGAUCUUUGCUUCAAUCUGAGCAGUUUUGGAGUUAACAGCUUGUUUUGGAUACUCUCUAAUACUAUUUUUUGAAAUAGAGUUGUUACUGUUAAGUGUUAAAUAUAAAAAUGUUUAAAUACCGUUUUCUAACAAUUUAAGCUUUUAGAGUACAACGGUUAUUUCACAUGGUAUCAGAGCAGGAGGUUCUAAGUUCGAGUCACGCUAGGCUCCUAGCAUAUUAAUUUUCUUCCAUUUAAUUCAAGCCCACGUCAUGGGCCGAUUAAAAAGUUUUGAGCCCAGACGUGAGGGGGAGUGUUAAGUGUUAAAUAUAAAAAUGUUUAAACACCGUUCUCUAAGUACAACGGUUGUUUCACAGUUACUACAGUUACUCCUCUUGUUGAUGUACUGCAGUACUGGGUGAUGCUACUGGUGUCUUUGAAUGAUGAGUUUAGACCAAUAGCAGCUAAGUUAAAAAUUGAAACAGUUUCAAUCUUAAAACUUCUAAAUAAUAAUAGUAUUUAAGAUUGCUUUUAGUUUUAGCUCAGCAUCUAAAUUGUUCUCCAGCAAUCCAUACAUAUUUGCCUUUUGAUGUAGAAUCAUUGGGCAUACACUUCACAGUUUAAGAAAAGCUGCAUAAUAGAAAAGCUGCAAAAUCAUAAAUAGAAUGAGUGCAUAAAUAGAAGAGAAUUAAUUAAUAACAUUGAUGUCUAAAACAAAUUUCUCCUUCAUGAAGUUUUGAGUCAUCAUCCUACUUGCUUCAUUUCUCUCGCUGCCAUCAACAUGCAUCUUGGAUGCAUUAGGAUUUACUUAAAGUGACAACAAAAGUGAACAAAAACCAAAGCAAAAUAAAAAAGCAAAAUAAAGGAGUAGCAACAAAUAAAAACAAUAAACUCUGAAAGGCAUUAACAUAGAUUGAAGCCAAAUGCACAGCUAAACAAGUAGCGUGGGUCAGUCCAUAAAAAUCUCUAGAUGCUGCAUGUAGUCCUCUAAAUCUUGCAAUUUAUCUGAAAUAAAAAGAGAUGCAUCAUGUGCAGAAGUAUGUAACACUAAGGAUUGCAGAUGUAGGCGAUCUGAUCAUGAGCAACUACAAACUAUGGCUGGCACACAUUUAUUUAAUUAUAUUUUACUUGUUCACUAAGCGGAGAGCCAGCUCAGCCACCAUGAUCAUUGCUCUCUUUUACGAAGUGGGGCGUGUGAAAUUGCCCCACUCUACUUUUAUUUUUUUCACUUAUAUUUAUUUGUCUCAAUUAGAUCUCUAUAUUAAUAACAAUGUUAUUUUCUUUUUUGUUUUAAACCUAUGUUAAGACCAUCAAGAGUUGAGUAGCAGUUGAGAUCUAUGGCAAUGGUGACAACAAUGAAAAACAAAUGAGCUGUUGUCUCUAAUAAUAUAAUGAGAAUGCCAAUUUAAUUUUAAUUUGAAUCCGUAAAUUUAAAUUUUAAUUUGAAUCCAUAAAUUUAAUUUAAGUUUGAAAUAAAAUUUCAAUAAAAUNCAGUAAGUCUAUUGAUCUGUCGUAGAGAAAGAGUUGUUAUUUAAUUUAUGAAGAAAUAUAACUUCAAAAUAAGAAAUACGACUGGUGCAUUCAAAAGUAGAGUGUAAAUCUAAGAUUUAUCCUCAAUAUGAAAUUUGUUUAAAAUCUCAUCUUAGCAUCCUUUCAGUGUAAGGACUAGUUUACUGGAAUAGGCUUUGGCAUCCUACCUAAUUCCAUAUAACGUUUUGAUUCUGGUGGUCGCAGUAGGGUAAAUUUGAAUUUAUCAAAUCAACUUAUCAUGACACAUAACUUCUCUUUGCUUUUCCUUUUUUGUUUUUCCUUUUCUUUUUGGAUAAAAGCCUUCCCAUGCUUGUAUGCAAGAGAUUAUAACGGGAUUGCUUAUGAAUAUAAGAGAAGAUUGAUGUUUAUUUUUUGAAAUUUGUUGUUUGUCUGACGAUCCUGAUUAAAUAAUAUGAAGUACAUAUCUCUGUUUCUUACAUUUAUUUGAUCUUUAUAUACGUUUCAUUUUGGUCCUCAAACUUUCAAGUUCCGAGACUAUGAACUCUUAAAAUAUUUUGCACAUCUACCGUUAGAUGGUAAUUUAUUGCCUAAACCUAAUAUACGUGUACUACAUAUUUGUAUACUUAUUUAUCGACUCUGUACUGUUAUGUUAUUUCUACAUUGCCGCUUGUAGAUUUACAAUUUUUUUUUUUUAAUUUAGAAAUUAGAGUAUUGAAUUGAAAGUAUGAGAUGAGAGAUGGGUUGAUGAAUUUGUGGUG
rnacentral:lncRNA from 1 species